rnacentral:misc_RNA from 1 species
CAGAGAUCAUGCCCUCACGGGUAGACCUCCCACCCUGUGUUAUUUACUAUUGUUGCUUUGGCAGGCCGCCUUCGGGCUCCCGGCUCCGGCUGGGGUGCGCCUGCCAGAGGACCCAAACUCGUUUGUUAGUGAUGUCUGAGUACUAUAUAAUAGUUAAA